rnacentral:rRNA from 1 species
AGAGUUUGAUCAUGGCUCAGAUUGAACGCUGGCGGUAGGCUUAACACAUGCAAGUCGUGCGAGAAAGUACCUUCGGGUGCGAGUAGAGCGGCGGACGGGUGAGUAACGCGUAGGAAUCUACCUAGUAGAAGGGGAUAGCCCGGGGAAACUCGGAUUAAUACCGUAUACCUCCUUAGGGAGAAAGAGGGCCUCUCUUGAUGCUCUCGCUAUUAGAUGGGCCUGCGUAAGAUUAGCUUGUUGGUGAGGUAAUGGCUCACCAAGGCUACGAUCUUUAGCUGGUCUGAGAGGACGAUCAGCCACAUUGGGACUGAGACACGGCCCAGACUCCUACGGGAGGCAGCAGUGGGGAAUAUUGGACAAUGGGCGCAAGCCUGAUCCAGCCAUACCGCGUGUGUGAAGAAGGCUCUAGGGUUGUAAAGCACUUUAAGCAGGGAGAAAAAGCUAUAAGUUAAUACCUUAUAGCCCUGAUGUUACCUGCAGAAUAAGCACCGGCUAAUUCCGUGCCAGCAGCCGCGGUAAUACGGAAGGUGCAAGCGUUAAUCGGAAUUACUGGGCGUAAAGCGCGCGUAGGUGGUUUGUUAAGUUGGAUGUGAAAGCCCUGGGCUCAACCUAGGAACUGCAUCCAAAACUAACUCACUUGAGUACGAUAGAGGGAGGUAGAAUUCAUAGUGUAGCGGUGGAAUGCGUAGAUAUUAUGAAGAAUACCAGUGGCGAAGGCGGCCUCCUGGAUCUGUACUGUCACUGAGGUGCGAAAGCGUGGGUAGCGAACAGGAUUAGAUACCCUGGUAGUCCACGCCGUAAACGAUGACAUCUAGCCUGUUGCGACGACUAAAGUCUUUCAGUGGCGCAGCUAACGUUUUAAGUUGUCCGGCCUGGGGAGUACUGGC